CGCAAGGUGUACGUGUAUACGAUGUCAUUCUACUCGCGCAGUUGUCAAAGUGCGUAAACAAAGUGUAAGGUUGGCCAUGCGGAUAAGCAGCAAAUAAUUUGUGAUUUUAGUGUAAAAUAGCCAUGGAAUAUUGAGAAACGCACCGGCCCAUGGAUUAUUCAUCGGUGAGAGGAGGUUUUCAUCGAUGUUUAUGUAUGUGGGUGAAUGCUGACGGUAUGUGUGCCGAGCUUGAAUAGGAUCGCACUGUAAACAGCAUUACAUUUGUGCAUCCAACGGAGACACAUCAUAUUUAUUGCUGGUCGUCACUCAACGAAAUGACGUGAUAGUAUAGUGCAGCGAGAAUAUAAUCAGAUGGGAAGUAUUAUUUACAUUUUACCUCUCAUAUGUACCCAUCUACAUUUCUUAAUUAUACAAUUUUUUCACAGGAAACAGAUAAUACUUCCGGUAGUUGCGAUUGACACAUACGGUCAUACAGCGUGUUAUUAAUGGAAAAAGGAAACAUCGUGAAAUUGUACAAGAAUUCUCGUAAAAACUAAGAAAGUCAUCAUUUUGUCAUCAUUCGCCCGUGUAUGGUUGUGUGUGUGUUAGUGAUUGCCAAAACGGCUCCAAAUCCGGCUCUGAUCGGCUCCAGGAAAUUUCGAAGUUUCACUACUUUUAAUAUUUUACUACAACUUAUUUACAUUCCGCAUUAUGCAACGGAUUUUCCUGUUUGAAACUUUAAUGGAAAGGAAUUGUUUCGGAGCACUGUGCUGCUUUGGAUCCUUUUUGUGCAGUCGUUGGUUCGAAACCGGCCCGGAGCCGGCUACGGAGCCGUAGGUGCGAAGCCGGCUCUGGAGCCAGGUAGGAGCCUCCGAAAUGCCCAUCACUAGUGUGUGCAUGUGUGUGAGAAUGCCGAAGGAAUUUGCGCGGGAGAAAUGAUAUGUGUGGAUUUUCAAAUUGAGUCACAAUGAAAUAUAAAAAUAAUACAUGCAUGAUACUGAUGUACGUUGCAGUUGACACAACGAUCAAGAAUGGCGGCUGUGAACAACUAGAACAUCCGCGCAUACUCAACUGGACCAAAACACUUUCCACUAACACACUUGAAGCAAACCAACAUUGCCACACACCACAAAAUAACAUUAAAAGGAAAGUAAUACAAAACAUGUUGAUUUACGCAUUAUAA